rnacentral:rRNA from 1 species
AACCUGGUUGAUCCUGCCAGUAGUCAUAUGCUUGUCUCAAAGAUUAAGCCAUGCAUGUCUAAGUAUAAGCACUCGUACUGUGAAACUGCGAAUGGCUCAUUAAAUCAGUUAUCGUUUAUUUGAUUGUACUUUACUACAUGGAUACCUGUGGUAAUUCUAGAGCUAAUACAUGCGAAAAAUCCCGACUUCUGGAAGGGAUGUAUUUAUUAGAUUAAAAACCAAUGCGGAUCUUCGGGUCCGUUUUCUUGGUGAUUCAUGAUAACUUUUCGAAUCGCAUGGCCUAGAGCCGGCGAUAUUUCAUUCAAAUUUCUGCCCUAUCAACUGUCGAUGGUAAGGUAGUGGCUUACCAUGGUUAUAACGGGUGACGGAGAAUUAGGGUUCGAUUCCGGAGAGGGAGCCUGAGAAACGGCUACCACAUCUAAGGAAGGCAGCAGGCUCGAAAAUUACCCAAUCCCGACUCGGGGAGGUAGUGACAAGAAAUAACGAUACGGGGUCUUAAUAGGUCUCGCAAUUGGAAUGAGUACAAUUUAAAUCCUUUAACGAGGAUCAAUUGGAGGGCAAGUCUGGUGCCAGCAGCCGCGGUAAUUCCAGCUCCAAUAGC